rnacentral:rRNA from 1 species
AUGUCGCUGGAGCUGAGCAUGGCCCUGGCGGCGCCGCCGGGGGGCGGGCUGCUGGCCCCGCCCCCUCCCGCCCCGCCCGGCAAGGAGCAGCAGGUGGCGGGGGUGGGGAUCCUGCUGCAGAUCUCCAUGCUCGUGCUCUCCUUCGUGCUCGGCCACGUCCUCCGCCGCCACCGCUUCUACUACCUCCCCGAGGCCAGCGCUUCGCUCCUCAUCGGACUAGUUGUUGGUGGGCUUGCUAAUAUUUCGAACACAGAGACCAACACUAGGACAUGGUUCAACUUCCAUGAAGAAUUCUUCUUCUUGUUCUUAUUACCUCCUAUAAUAUUCCAAUCAGGAUUCAGCUUAUCCCCAAAACCAUUCUUUGCCAACUUUGGGGCCAUUGUAACUUUUGCCAUUCUUGGGACAUUCAUCGCUUCCAUCGUAACAGGGAUGCUUGUCUAUCUUGGUGGACUCACAUUUCUAAUGUAUAAACUUCCAUUGGUUGAAUGUCUUAUGUUUGGCGCUCUUAUAUCCGCGACUGAUCCUGUCACAGUAUUAUCAAUAUUCCAGGAACUGGGAAGUGAUGUUAACUUGUAUGCUCUGGUGUUCGGCGAAUCUGUUUUAAACGAUGCGAUGGCAAUUUCUCUUUACAGGACAAUGUCAUCGGUCAGGAGUAAUGCAGCAGGAGGCGAGAACAUUUUUAUGAUGAUUCUACAGUUCCUUGAGAUCUUUGUUGGUUCAAUGUCAUCAGGUGUCGGAGUUGGAUUUAUCUCUUCUCUUCUAUUUAAAUAUGCGGGAUUGGAUAUUGACAAUCUUCAGAACUUGGAGUGCUGCCUUUUUGUUCUCUUCCCAUACUUCUCGUAUAUGUUAGCAGAAGGACUUGGCUUGUCAGGAAUUGUUUCUAUACUAUUCACAGGGAUGGUUAUGAAGCACUAUACAUACUCUAAUCUGUCAGAUAACUCGCAGCGCUUUGUUUCGGCCUUCUUUCACUUGCUAUCAUCUUUGGCUGAAACAUUUGUCUUCAUUUAUAUGGGCUUUGAUAUUGCCAUGGAAGAGCAUAGCUGGUCACACGUUGGGUUCAUCAUCUUCUCGAUUAUAUUUAUAAUUGUUGCAAGGGCAGCAAAUGUCUUUUCUUGUGCCUACUUGGUUAAUAUAUCGCGGCCAGAACAUCGGCGUAUACCUCUAAAUCACCAGAAAGCUCUUUGUUUUAGUGGGCUUAGAGGAGCCAUGGCUUUUGCGCUUGCUCUCCAAUCUGUGCAUGAACUUCCUGAAGGACAUGGAAAGACGAUAUUAACAGCUACCACAGCCAUUGUCGUUUUAACGGUUCUUCUUAUUGGAGGGUCGACAGGCACCAUGUUAGAAGCUUUGGAUGUAAUUGGUGAUGAAAAUACAUCAAUAGAAACUUACGAGGAUAACAAUGGUUACAUUCCCCCAACUUAUGAGGAAGGUACAUCGUCUGGAGGAGGAUUGAGAAUGAAACUCAAGGAGUUCCACAAAAGCACAACAUCGUUCACCGCCCUUGACAAGAACUAUUUAACUCCAUUUUUCACCAGUCAGACUGAUGAAGAUGCUGAUGAUUUCGGUGAUCAACCCCAAAACCAGAGACGAGGAUUCUAUGAUCAAUAG